rnacentral:rRNA from 1 species
AGCCGCGGGAACACCGGCGGCCCGAGUGGUGAUCGUGAUUAUUGGGUCUAAAGGGUCCGUAGCCGGUUUGGUCAGUCCUCCGGGAAAUCUGAUAGCUCAACUAUUAGGCUUUCGGGGGAUACUGCCAGACUUGGAACCGGGAGAGGUAAGAGGUACUACAGGGGUAGGAGUGAAAUCUUGUAAUCCCUGUGGGACCACCUGUGGCGAAGGCGUCUUACCAGAACGGGUUCGACGGUGAGGGACGAAAGCUGGGGGCACGAACCGGAUUAGAUACCCGGGUAGUCCCAGCCGUAAACGAUGCUCGCUAGGUGUCAGGCAUGGCGCGACCGUGUCUGGUGCCGCAGGGAAGCCGUGAAGCGAGCCACCUGGGAAGUACGGCCGCAAGGCUGAAACUUAAAGGAAUUGGCGGGGGAGCACAACAACGGGUGGAAGCCUGCGGUUUAAUUGGACUCAACGCCGGACAACUCACCGGGGGCGACAGCAAUAUGUAGGCCAAGCUGAAGACUUUGCCUGAAUCGCUGAGAAGUGGUGCAUGG